rnacentral:rRNA from 1 species
AUUGAACGCUGGCGGCAGGCCUAACACAUGCAAGUCGAACGGUAACAGGAAGCAGCUUGCUGCUUUGCUGACGAGUGGCGGACGGGUGAGUAAUGUCUGGGAAACUGCCUGAUGGAGGGGGAUAACUACUGGAAACGGUAGCUAAUACCGCAUAACGUCGCAAGACCAAAGAGGGGGACCUUCGGGCCUCUUGCCAUCGGAUGUGCCCAGAUGGGAUUAGCUAGUAGGUGGGGUAACGGCUCACCUAGGCGACGAUCCCUAGCUGGUCUGAGAGGAUGACCAGCCACACUGGAACUGAGACACGGUCCAGACUCCUACGGGAGGCAGCAGUGGGGAAUAUGCACAAUGGGCGCAAGCCUGAUGCAGCCAUGCCGCGUGUAUGAAGAAGGCCUUUCGGGUUGUAAAGUACUUUGCAGCGGGGAGGAAGGCGAUAAGGUUAAUAACCUUGUCGAUUGACGUUACCCGCAGAAGAAGCACCGGCUAACUC